CGCAACCUCAUGGUGCUUUGGAU
rnacentral:snRNA from 1 species